GCAGCCAGCGAGUUGGCAUCCUCGUCAACCAGUACACCUCAGUUUCCCUCUGCGGCUCUGCCACCCGACGCGCCACCUCGCCGCGGCGGAGAACCCAUCCCGAUGCCUUCCUCGCCGCCGGCAUGGCGUCCGAGGCGCUCGUCGUUCUCGCGCGCGUCCGCAGCGGCGGGAAAACGCCCAGCCUCUCCCCGCUCGCGACGCUGCUGCGCCUGCUGUUCGGCGAGGGCAACGUCCAGGCCGCGUGGAAGGUGUUCGUGGAAAUGACCGCGAUGGGGCCACGGUCGAGCCUCGCUGUCUUCAACGUCAUGGUCCUACGGUUAUGCCGCAGGGGCUCCGGGCUCUUCCCUGUAGCUGCGGGAUUGCUCGGUGUCAUGUGGAGGUUCCAUGUUAUCCCUGAUGCGUGCAGCUAUGACAUCCUGAUCAAGAAUUACUGCGUGUUUGGGCGGGCAGGGGAUGCUUUCCAGUUGUUUGACAAAAUGCACAGGGCAGGGGAUGCUUUCCGGUUGUUUGACAAAAUGCAUAAGCCAGGGUGCGAGCCUGCUGUUGUGACGUAUAACAUUUUGUUGAAUGUAUGAUGCCGUGAUGGGAAAAUGUUGGAGUCAAGGAGGCCGUUCGAUGAGACGGCGGCAGUGGAAUACGAUCACUUUCAUUGUUUUAGUCGAUGGGUAUGCAAAGGCUGGACAGAUGGAUGAGGCUGAUGCCGCCUGCAGAGAGAUGAAGGCGAGGGGAUUGCUCCCAGAUUGCUGCACUUUCAACAUUCUUUCUGCUGGAGCAUACAAGUUAAGAAAGGUUGUGCACUUGACACAUGAGCAGCAGGAGCUGUAUGUAAUGUUUGGUUCGCAGGUAUCAGCAGACAGUAUAGAUAUGGAUUUAUAGCCUUUGUUGGGAUGGACGAUUGGAUGAUGUCCGACAGCUUGUGUGUAGUGCAGUUGAGCAGGGUGUUCCAGUGAGUGUUGCGGGAUUUAAUGCUUUGAUUGCUGCAUAUAGCGAGGUGAGAUUUGAAGAAGAAGCUCUCGAGUUAUAUAGACUUAUGAAAGAGAUAGGCCUUGCACCCUUAUCACCCACUUUGAAUUACUUGAUCCUGGGUCUAUGCAAUCAAGGAAGACUAGAUGAUGCACAACUGUUGCUAGACCAUAUGAUUAGUAAGGGAUUUCUGUUCGUACCUCAUUUACCGUUUACAUGGAUUCAUGCUUCAGGUCUGGUAAUGUAAAAGGUGCCUUGAAAUGCUGGGAUGAUAUGGUGAAAGUUGGUGUGCAGCCAGGUUUUAUCGCCUUCUCUGCAUAUACCAGUGGACUUUGCAGAUCAGAUCAUGUAAACGAGGCAUAUCGGGCAUUUGUAGAGAUGAGUAGAUGACAAGAAGAGGUUUUGUUCGAACAAUAUUACUUACAACUCUCUCAUAUCUGCCUUUUGUAGGCUCGGCCAUGUGGCUGACUGAAACUAGAGCAGAAGAUGAGGCAGAGUGGUCUUGUUCCUAAUGUUUUCACAAGCAACAUUCUGAUUGAUGGUUUCUGCAUAGAAAGGAAGGUUGGAUAUGGUGAAUAACCAUUUCUUGGACAUGCGUAGUAGUGGCUUAACUCCUGAUGUAGUGACGUACAAUACAAUUGUUAUUGGAUAUUGUCGGGCCCAGGCUAAGAACGGUGCCAUGAUUUUCAUGAACAAGAUGCCUGCAGAUGGCUGUGAUCCAGAUAUUUUAACAUAUAAUAUUUGGAUCCGUAGCCUUUGCAACAACCAUUCGAUGAAUCGAGCAAUGAGAGUGUUGGAUGAACUUGUUGCUGUUGGUUGUUCACCUAAUUAAGUUACAUAUAACACACUGAUGGACGGCAUUUGCAGUGAUGGCCUUGAUCGAGCUAUGAUUCUCACUGAUAAACUGAUUAAGAUGGCUUUUCAGCCCAACACCAUCACAGUUAAUGUUUUCUUUUCUCAUUUCUGUAAGCAAGGUCUUGGAAGGUGGGUCCUUGUGUGGGCUGAGAAGCUCGGGGAAGAUUGUGUUGCUCUUGAUGACGCUACACUGAAUAUACUUGACUGGGCGUACAAGGAGAUGGAGUAUAACCCCCAGGAUAGCAUUGCUGAUAUUGGCAAGUGUAUGUUUCUCGAGUUCUUAAUGCUCAUAACGUACACCACUAUGAGCAAUAGUAGGUCCCCAAAGUUUACACAUGUGCCUACCGAGACAUUGGUUGAUCCUGCCGGUAGCAGCACAAUCAAAGUUUUGGAUACUGGAUAGUAACUGAAUUUCAUACCCAUGUGAGCUACUUGAAACAUGAGCUACACAAUCAAAGUUUUUGGUGUCCACAAGGGACGUCGGCACGGGGAUAACACAGCGGUCGCCAGCCUGAAGCGGUUGAGGAGCAGCACCUUGUCAGUGCCGCCACGCCGUUCCUCAACUUAGUCUGCUCAGUGCUGGUCUCCCCUGAGCUGCAGCUCAGCAUCCGCCGGGAGAUUGACACACUCGGGCUGCAGUUGGGGCACAUGAGCAUUGAAUCCUCCAACAGGGAUGAUCUCGUCCACGCCUCACCGGGGAAGAGCACCAAUGCCAGUAAAGACGAAGCUCAGAAGAGGAGUUCAAAGCAUGACCGGUGGCAUGGACAGUGUCAACUUGUAUCAAGGCAUGAAAGAAUUUUCUCUUCUUAUUUUUUUGAACAUACCCUUCUUGUUCUUUUUUCUGUAUAUCUGUUCUUCGAAAAAUUGCAUUUUAAUAUUACCUGUUCAUGAUGCAAAGACAUUUCCCUCUAAAUAUGUUUAGAAAACUCUUAUCCGCGCUGCUGCCUUCAUUGUUCAUUGUAGUAUGUAUCUUUUUGCAGAAUGUAAUUGUGCAAAGUUCAUGUCAGGUGCAGGUUGACCAAAUAAAGGCCCAGGCGAAGAUUAGUCUGACAAAGACGCCAUCUAAUCUACCCUGAGUCACAAGGUGGAGGGCAAGCAGGCGAGGAGGAACCGGUGGGCAUGCCCGGUUGGCGCGCAGCAGGCAGAGCAGCUUGGAGACUGGAUGUGUGCUGUCCUGCUGUCCCGCUUCCGGUGCUGCAGCCGGUUUCACUGAUGGAAAAGGAAAAUAAGUUCAGACCGUCUAUGAGAUGUAUCCUGCCUGAAGAAUCCUGAAGAUCUCAGUGCCAACCCUGGGACAAGAUGUUCAGAUAAUGCAACGAACUCUGCGAAGAAAUCAUUAUUUUUGAGGAAUUGGCAGGUGAGCUGCUCCUAAGAUUAAUAGAAGGGGCAAUGUUAGGAAGCUAGCCAGAAAAGCAAGGUCAGCGCAUGAACAAAUACAAGAACUACUCUCGCGGCAUCGAGCUCUUGGCACCAGCCAGAGGGGAUCGUCUAGGACGGAAGAUCAUCACAAAUUUAGUAGACUAACUAAUAUACAACCUCUUAUGGAGAGUAAGGAAAACUUUAGGCGACUACGAAUUAGUAAAAGCGAAAUAAAGUUUAUUCAAGCAUGUAAAGGCUGCUACUUAUCCAAGACAAAGGACAGAAAAGAGAUAAAGAUUGAACGAUGCUGAACUAAUUAACAAGCAUGCAAAUAAACUUAAAAGCUUAUUAAGCUAGCCACCAAAAUUAAAAGCUACAGCUGCUCAUCAACUUGAAACUGCGGGACUCUGAUAUGAGGACUAGAAACUGACAUCUGCUGUCGUAUUAGACUAGCCACGGUGGGAGUAACUUCAGCUUCAAGUCUAACUCAGCAAAUUUGUUUAUGUGGCAAUGAGUUAAUGAAGAGAGAGGUAGUUCUAGUAACUUAGCUAGUUACUGUAACAUCACAUGUCCCAAUGCAAUAUGAGCCUAUAACCUAAUAAAUGGAGCUUUGCAUGACACCACACCUAUAUUACUACCUACUAUGAAGGUAGCAAUAUAUUCUAGAAAUAUGUGUAUGUUACUACUGUAUGUUACUCUCCACUGUGCCUAGUCUUAACACACCAACAACGAGUUUCGAUUUAACUAACUUGCAAGAGCCGCCCCCGCGUCGCCCGCGUCUGGCGACACGGGGGAAACCCGCGCCGCCGCCGAGGUUACCUCCGCCACCACCGCUCCCGCAGUGCCGCUGCCGGAGGGCCGGCCGGCGAAGCCGCGCCGCGCCCAGGGAUGGCGGUGGCGGGGCGGUUCCGUCCCCCUCCCCCGUGCCAGAGCCCCCACCCCACCAAACCACGAUCUGGCCGGGAGCCCCUCCACCACCGUCCCCGCCCCUCCCGCGUGGCCUUCCUCGUCUCCGGAGAUGUAGCUUGUCCCCGUUCUGCGACGACUGCGCCCUGGUGACUCCCCUGCGCGCGUGGCCCGGCCAGCCCAGAUCCGAUCUGGCGAAGUCACACCCCCCCUCCUGUCCGACUGUUGUGUCCUCCGGCCGGCGUGGCCGCCUCCUCCCUCGGCAGUGCAGGCUUGGUCUGCACCUUCAGUGGCCACAUCCUCCCUCGGCAGCACACCCUUCAUUGCUGGUGGUGGUGGUUGGGCUUGAUUUGGGUGGUGCGGCCAGGCGAGCCGAGGCUCUGGCCCUGCCUUGCUGCAGGCUAUUCCUCGUCUCCGACGACGCCUCCUCCAAGCUGCGGUGUUGAUUUCGUUCGAUUUGUGUGCUAUGGUGGUCUUCCUUGGCAUGCGGUUGAGGCCUCCGGUGGACCCUUUGUCGGCACCGCUCCGGUCCUGGCGGUUUUGGACUUGCGUUCUCCCCUCAAGUGUCCAUAGCCUGCCUGCGUCCUUUGUCGCUGCGGUUCCGGCGCCGGCGCUCCUAUUGCUGCGUCUCUCCGGCCUUUGGCUCGCCGGCGUCCCGGCGACUUCGUCCUCGGCAGCUUGGAUCUGCACCCCUUUCCGGCUCCUAGCUUGUCGAUGGCGUCAGUUGCCUUCCUUCCUCCGCGUCGGCUUUUUCGGCCCUGCCGCCCUUUGACCCCAUCCACCUCCACGGCGAGCCAAUCCCAAAGCUUGCGUUUUUUUCGGCGUCGCCCGAUGCCACCCACCAACGGCAAGCGCAACCCCACCCAACCCCGUCCUGAGGUGGUGAUCUCGACUAGCGAAGCUACUUCCUCAUCUUCGGCCCCUGGUCCGUGGCAAUGGGAUUGCUCGGACUCAGGCCAGGGCGAAAUCCCUGCUCGGCUCGCCCACGCUGGCAACAACGGCACCUGUGGGUGUCGUUUUCCUUUUUGGAGGCGCUGCCAUGGCCUCUACCUGUGCCCCUCUUUGAGCAUCAGGGGAAACCCUUGGUCCGGUUCUUCGGAUCGGAUGGCGGCGGCGUCACGAUGUCGUGCCCCUUCUUGAAGGCGUCAUCUUGUUUGCUCGCGGCGUCCCCGGUAUUGGUGUUAGAGAUGAUCGUCACCUAGCCGGUUCGGCUUGCCCCUCUAGCUAGGCUUGGCUUGGUGAUUUAGCUGUGUUUUCUCUUUGUCCGGGUUGAGCAUCCCGUCUCUCUGCUCUGGGUCCCAUGUCCACGCCUUCUCAUGUAUGCGUUUGUGCUGUGUUGUACCCUUUUAUGUACUCAUUCUGCUUUUCUUCUAUCAAUGCAAUGAUACGUAAGCUUUGCGUAUUCGCGAAAAAACACACCAACAACAUGUUCUUUGCCCGUGUCCUCCUCCUCCUUCUCCAUCGCCGGCAUAAUUAGAUAUCCGGCAUGUUCAGGUUGAUGGUGUGCCAUGCGAUCGCCGCCGCGGCUACGGGUGCAAGCCUUCUCGGCUUGUUUCCACCGCAGGUAUUGCUGCGCCUGACGUGUGAGCAAAGCACGGAGGAGGUUGGGAAAGUGCUCAUGCACCACACACACGGGUGCAAUCUCCCAUCUGGAUGGAUUUUCAUGCGUGGGCAUGCGGCCUGCGCUGGCGGCCAUGAGAUCUUGGCACCGACCUUAUGAGGGACGAGAGCAGAAGAGAUAGAUGAUGUGGGAGCAAGGAACAAGGGAAAGGGGACUGGUGUGCUUGUGUUGUAUUGUGCUUGCGAGAUAGAUAUAGAGGGGGUCCUGAAAGGGGAGCAAUGUUGUCAUCAUCUACCAACUAGUAACGCUUGAGCUAUGUGACGUGACACAUGGUAGCGAUAAGCAGGGCCACAUUGCCAAUAGAUCUAUCACUAGAGUUAGCAGCACACGUUGGAAAAUCAUGUGUUGACUAAUUGCUGUGGUUGAUUUUUUCUACCGAGCUACUCCCUCCGUCCGAAAAUACUUGUAGAGACAUGGAUGUAUCUAGAUGUAUUUUAGUUCUAGAUACAUCUGUUUUUAUUCAUUUCUGCGACAAGUAAUUUCGGACAAAGGGAGUAUUUUAAGAUGACCCCUCUUAUCUUCUACUCCGAGACCAUUCAUCAACGGUACAUUUGAUCAUUCAUCAACGGAGUAUGAGGUAAGGGAAAUGUUUAAUCUCAACUGUCCAUUCAUCAACAAUACUUUUUUUUAGAGGAAACAAUCACCUUAUUAUUACUUAGUACAUGGCACCAUCAGCCAGUAAAACAUCUCGAUACAAACUGGAGAAACACUAAACCAAGUUUUGCAUAAAUUUAAAAGGCAACCCUCCAUAGCUAAGUUAUGAGCAGCUUUGUUCGUUGUUCGCCUGGCCCAAGCCACUCAAUACUCGGUGACCGCUUGUCAGCAUCUCAUUUAUUUCCUCGACAAGAGGAACAUGAAUAAUGUUCUAAUUAUUGCAACUACUACUUGUUUAUUUUGCUUUUGAUAUCAAAUAUUCAUGGAAUGCAUACAUACAUAAUAUGCCUGCCUCAUUAUUGGAUAACACAUUUUUAGUUUCUCUAUUCAUCAUUUUUUUAAGAAAUACGAACUUUUGCUCUAAUCUUGUAUUACCAUUGUAGAAUAUUCAUACUAAAUAUACCUUGUAACAUUUUAUUAGUUUCACUGUUAGCUACGGAAAACUAUGUAAUCAGUUGUUGAUCCAAAAUUUCAGCAUGAAACAGUACAUCGACAUAAGUUAAACCAUAUCAAAAAAUUGAUCGUGGGCGAUUUUUUUUCUAUGUUGGAAUUUGUUUCACAUCAACUGAAUUAUUUGUCACUUCCAAAUUAUUUUGUUUCUCUUAUGGUAUUAAAGUGAGUACUUAGAUUUUAAUUAAAGGUUCAAAAGUUACCAAGAAUUUUUCCUAAAAAAAGGAUACCAAGAAUUAGCUGCGUUUUACUCACUACAUGAAUAUGCAAUUUAUGGACUUUGUGUGGUGAAAGUGACACGUAUAUUCACUAUCCAAGUUGGCUACCUAUUAACCUAGCUAAAAAGGUGUUAAAAAAAACUAGCUAAAAAAGAAUGUAAUGAUAGAGACGUGGAGCCCUAAAAAAAAGAUAGAGACGUGGCAUGUAGAAAAGUGACAUGGAAAUUUGAGCACUACAUGCUAUAUUUCCUAAUUUAACAUCAUAUUUUAAUGACAUAAUAGUUUCUUUUCUUACUUGCAAAAAGGGAAAAUUUUCAAGAGGUGAUAUACUAGCCAUCGAUCGGAUGCUGCAAAAUGGACGGUUCGUAUUAAUUGGGCCUAUCCUUAAAAUUCGCUUUGCAUACUUAUUUGGGCCUAAUGACUAAAUCCCAAAUAUAUACUGCCUGUCUCCUUACCGAUUCCCGAAUAAAGAAACCAUCCACGCUUCAACCCUCGGCCACGCGCGCCGCCGCCGCCGUUCCCUCGUGGCAACCAUGGCUGGCGCUGGCAGUGGCAGGCCACCCGGCGGCGAUGGCAACUGCAGUGUGAUUUAUUCACCCUAUCCGCAGUCGCCGCCUCUUGCUCCUUGCCUGACCUACCUGUUCCAACACUUCGGCCUGGACAAGAUCGGCGAUAUCAUGAACCGUCCCGAUGGCAAGACGUUCGAGCAGAGGAUCGUCCACCUACGAGAGGCACUAGAUGCUUUCGAACGUGCUCGUGACAUAUUCCACGUGGUCGAGGUCGACGAGGGCGGCGACGAGGAUGAGGACGAGGACGAGGAGGAUGAAAAUCUCUUAGGUGAUGAAGAUGAAGAUGAAGAAAAACCAGAUAUCGUGAAACGGCCACAUGCUCCUAUUGAAGGCGAACUGGAAUGCAAGAAGCCACAGAUAGCACAAGACUUGAGGUGCCGAUUAUGAGAAGAACCUGAGUCUGGAGGGACAGAGAAUUCCUCGCGGUAGUUAGUGAUUUACGUGUGCUGUAUGAAGCACACAGCCUAUGUUUACUUAGUUUACAUUGCACCAACAUAUUUCAAGAUGCACUUGUUUAUACUCUUGAGGAAGCUGCGGUUUGGACAAUCUAAA